rnacentral:rRNA from 1 species
AUUGAACGCUGGCGGCAUGCUUUACACAUGCAAGUCGAACGGUAACAGGCCGCAAGGUGCUGACGAGUGGCGAACGGGUGAGUAAUGCAUCGGAACGUGCCCAGUCGUGGGGGUUAACGCAGCGAAAGCUGCGCUAAUACCGCAUACGAUCUCUGGAUGAAAGCGGGGGACCGAAAGGCCUCGCGCGAUUGGAGCGGCCGAUGUCAGAUUAGGUAGUUGGUGGGGUAAAGGCCCACCAAGCCAACGAUCUGUAGCUGGUCUGAGAGGACGACCAGCCAAACUGGGACGGAGACACGGCACAGACUCCUACGGGAGGCAGCAGGGGGGAAUUGUGGACAAUGGGCGCAAGCCUGAUCCAGAAAUGCCGCGUGCAGGAAGAAGGCCUUCGGGUUGUAGACUGCUUUUGUACGGAACGAAACGGUCCGGGCUAAUACCCUGGGCUAAUGACGGUACCGUAAGAAUAAGCACCGGCUAACUACGUGCCAGCCGCCGCCGUAAUAC